CAAUAGCCCCGAUUGCAGUGGAAAUCCUUUUUUGCUUCUGCUCAAAUUUAUUUUGAUAAAAUGUUCCGGCAAAAAAGAUUGCAACGGAAAGCGGGAAACAGC
rnacentral:sRNA from 1 species